GUAAUUCCUUGGGCAUUAACACUCUCUAAUCAACAAAGAAACUGCUUUUCUCAUGUUACUUUUACCAAUUUUUUUAUACUCGUACAUUUAGUUGAUUAUAGAAAACAUCUUGACAUUCACACGAAUGCCUUUGUCUUAUCUGAUCGUGUUAACAUGCUGAUUCGUUCUUGCCACUGGCCGAAGCCAUUUUGUCAAAUUUUGCAUCUUUCCAAAAUUUAAUCACACACAAGCAUUCUGGCAUGUGUCAGGCAACGGGUUACAGGAAUGGCAUGGUCCCCUUUUGGUGUUGAGCCUGGCCUACACCCUCGGUUAUUGAAAAUGGUGUUGGAACAAGUAAUUACAUGGAGCUGGAGCGUCAAUUUGGGACUUGAUUUGUCAUCUGUUGGUUGACGUAGGAAAACACAGAUUGAACCCACCAUUUUAUUCCCACACUUAUCAUUGGAAUUCUGGGAUGGUAGCUGUUGUUGCAGGACACUCCUUGGUUCAUUAGUGAGGUUCCAGAAAGCAGCAUUCCAAGAGCAAGAAUACAAUUUGCCGGCUGUCAACACAAUAUAGAUUGUUUAACUUUGUUUUCUUGCCUUGGUGGUGAAAUUGAAUUAUAUUGAGAUUUAAAACA